rnacentral:lncRNA from 1 species
GAGCAGGUACUGUAUUGCCUGGCUUAUGCAGAAAGGGAUCCCACAGGGUAAGCAAAAUGCCAGAAGGUAUCUGCAGCCCAGUAGUUACCUCAGAGAUGGAGCAGGAGUGUACUGGGGGCAUCUAGACAAGACUCAAGCUGAACAAGAGAAGAGGAGAGGAGCAGUCUAGAAUGAGGAACCAGGGUUCCAUGAUAUUGUCACUGAUGGUCAGUACUUUCCAUUGCUUGGGGAAGACUCGGGGUCAAAAUGAGUACUGUGGUCAAUGUUGUUCCGAGGCCAGGCCAUCCGAAUCUCUUCACUUGUUCACUUGAUACUAGUGAAUGAAUAGCUAUUAUAUACUUGAAUAUGUCAUACUAUGCCAGUACUUUUUGUUCCUAUGAACAGAUUUCUAUGAACAGAGCCAGCAGAAAUUUACCUCUCAGUGGAGUUUGAGUUCUAGGGAAGCCAGGGACUCCACAACCCUUGUCCAUUAGAUGUGAACAAGUCACUUAUGUGGUUUUCUCUUUGAGACCAGAGCUGCUGCCAAGGGAGAUGGUGGUGAUGGUGGGGGCAGUCUGGGAAAAAAUGCUUGCCAGGAAAUGAGCUGGAGGGUCUGACCACUGCAGAGGCCCAUCCACCACCUUGCUGGGUGGAGACAUCUUCUUGCAGCUUGGAGAAGCAUUACAAGUCAAUAACAAUUUUCUAAGAUGUUUCUAAUUUUUAAACAUGUAACUAUAGUUACAAGGCUUCAGAGAACCAUCUGCUAGACUUUAAUUUGCUUCUCAGGACCAAGAGGAUUGUAGAUCAUGGACUAACACAUUCAGAAACAAUCUUUCCUCUAUAUUCACAGCUUUAAAAAAAAUCAUAUGUACUAGCACCAACUUACUUUCCCAUUCUGUCCUUGAAUUUCUCUCCCACGUUUUCUUGUUGAUGGACAGGCACAAAACAACCUCAGGAGUGUGGUAUGUGAGGUUUUGAUGGGCUCUAUAGCAUGCAACUGUGAAGUGAUUUGAAAUGUUUUCCACAGGAAUGGUGUUUCUCUUUUGUGGUGGGGCAAAGGCUGGCCUUGAACUCUCAAUCUCCCAGAGAGUCAUUAACGUACUCAAAAUGGAGGAACGUAUGGAAUGAACAUCUAAGGCCCACAGGUAGAAUGAUAUGGUAAAGAUUAGACUUUUAAUCCAUAAUUCUUUUAAAAAAUACAUUUACAAACC